UUAAACUGGAAGAGGGUAGGUUUAGACUAAAUAUUAGGAAGAAAUUUUUCACUGUGAGGGUUGUGAGACACAGCAACAGGUUGUCCAGUGAGGUUGUGGAUUUCCCCUUCCUUAAAGCAUGCAAGGCCAGGCCGGAUGAGGCUAUGAGCAACCUGGUCUAGAAAGAGGUGUCCCUGCCUACAGCAGGGAUUUGGAAUUAGAUGGUCACAAAGGUCCCUCCCAAUCCAAACCAUUCUAUGGGGCUAUGAUUCUGUGACAGUUACUGACUAAGACCUGAAACAGGAACCCUGAGAACAGUGUUCUGUCAUCACAUGCGAUGGAAGAAUAUUAUCAAAGUAAUCAAACUGUAGACAAAGGGAUUUAGAACACUUACAGCUGCAUUCAGCUCUCCAGAUGAAGCUCAAGACAGCUUGUAGGCACACAAAGCAGCAGGCUCAGCUGCCAGCAUAGCAGAAUCGCUCUGAUCUUCCAGCGAUACAAGUGAGAAUCACUUUGCAAACAUAGCGAUGUGAUGCUUGCUCAGAUGAGCUUACAGAUUUAAAAUGAUAAUGAGAAGACAACACAAAUGGAUGCAAGAGAUGAAAAAAGAACCACUUGGAUCCCAGAUGUCAGAUAUAAAGAAUUUCAAGUAGUCUGAAUAUGAAACAGUAAUCAGCUGCAUGAUAUCUACAGAGCACUGUGAUCAACUCUUUCUUUAUUGUGUCAGCAGAAAUUCACUCUAAUGAUUUCAAAUUCAUUUCAAGUAAAGCUCCUUUCUUAAUUUCUUUAGAUUGAAAAUCCUAAAGUAAUUUCCUUUCCAGCCUCAAUCAUGCUUGAUUCUAGGGAGUUAAAUAACAUGGGAGAGGAAUAGUCCACAAAAGCCCCAAAAU